UGAAAGUAGAGGGCAACAGAAGAAACCAAAGAAGCAAUAAUAUCUCCAACAGGGUUUGAUCUUCCUUUCAUUGUCUUCUUCUUCUCUUCAUUCUUUUUCUUUUUUGUUCUUU
rnacentral:ribozyme from 13 species